UACGAAGGGGGCUAGCGUUGUUCGGAAUUACUGGGCGUAAAGCGCGCGCAGGCGGCCAUUCAAGUCAGGGGUGAAAUCCUGGAGCUCAACUCCAGAACUGCCUUUGAUACUGAAGAUCUUGAGUUCGGGAGAGGUGAGUGGAACUGCGAGUGUAGAGGUGAAAUUCGUAGAUAUUCGCAAGAACACCAGUGGCGAAGGCGGCUCACUGGCCCGAUACUGACGCUGAUGCACGAAAGCGUGGGGAGCAAACAGG
rnacentral:rRNA from 1 species